AAAGGAAUAGACGGGGGCCCGCACAAGCGGCGGAGCAUGUGGAUUAAUUCGAUGCAACGCGAAGAACCUUACCUGGGCUUGACAUAUACAGGACUGGGCCAGAGAUGGUCUUUCCCUUUGUGGCUUGUAUACAGGUGGUGCAUGGUUGUCGUCAGCUCGUGUCGUGAGAUGUUGGGUUAAGUCCCGCAACGAGCGCAACCCUUGUCUUAUGUUGCCAGCGGUUCGGCCGGGGACUCAUGAGAGACUGCCGGGGUUAACUCGGAGGAAGGUGGGGAUGACGUCAAAUCAUCAUGCCCCUUAUGUCCAGGGCUUCACACAUGCUACAAUGGUCGGUACAACGCGCUGCGAGCCUGUGAGGGUGAGCGAAUCGCUGAAAGCCGGCCUCAGUUCGGAUUGGGGUCUGCAACUCGACCCCAUGAAGUCGGAGUCGCUAGUAAUCGCAGAUCAGCAACGCUGCGGUGAAUACGUUCCCGGGCCUUGUACACACCGCCCGU
rnacentral:rRNA from 1 species